rfam:Filifactor alocis ATCC 35896, complete genome.
ACCUUAUCAAGAGUGGCGGAGGGACUGGCCCGUUGAUGCCCGGCAACCAGCAGAAUGCAUGGUGCUAAUUCCUGCAAAAAAGUAUUUUUGGCAGAUGAGGU